rnacentral:lncRNA from 11 species
CAGUAGACCAGGCAUGGGUGAACAUGGGUCUACCAGCUGUUAGGAAUUGUGGGAGGGUUGAAGUUGGCCCAGGCCUGCACUAUACUAAUUUAAUGGGGCUUUUCUCUUCCUGCCUGCCUGCCUGCCUGCCUGCCUGCCUGCCUGCCUGCCUGCCUGCCUGCCUGCCUUCCUUCCUUCCUUCCUUCCUUCCUUCCUUUAUCUUUCCUUCCAGGAGGAAGAGGGGGUUCUGGCCAGGCCUGGGCCACACAGGCACCGCGGAGCGGGAGACUUCGCCUCGGGCUUCGUCUUUGCUGAGAAGGAGGCCGCCUUCGCAGCAGGAGGUGGGAGCUGGGCCGAGGCGCUGGGGCAGAUGCUACGGAAGAAGAAAUCAGGCACCAGCCUUGACGAGAAGAUCGCAGCCGUGAGGAAGAGGAGAAGGGACCAGGUGAGGCAGAAGGAGAUUGGGCUUAAUGAGCUCCCAUAUUCAUAAUAAUAAUACUAUGUAACAUAAUAUUUGUUCCUGGGUUGUAAAUGUCAUUUCCUAAUAGGUUCUGUCAUAAAAAUAUUUAUGGAAAAAGUGUAUUAAUCUGCAAAGACUUUGUCUUUGUGGGAGGGACAUCUUGCUAUAGCACAUUUUGCAAUAGUUUUUCAAUGUCUCGACUAAUAUCAAGCUAGUUUGUGGCAGCUACAAAAACUGAUGUUCCUGGAAUUGAACUACUUUCAAAGGAAGGUGGAAUGAAACAGAAAAUAAUACUUAAAAACCAGGCAUGGAACUUUUCAAAUUUUGUUACAUAGUGUAAUGAUAUAUUUUAUUUCUCCUAUGCCUCCCCUUGAGGCUGAAGGCAGGGUACAGCAUAGGUGAAAUACGUAGUUAAAACUAAGGACCCUUAUACAAAUACAGGCUGCCCCUGAGUUGCAAACAUCCAACUUACAAACGACUCGUAGUUACAAAUGGGGUGAGACAACAGGAAGUGAGAGAAGUCUGCCUCUCAAAAGGAAGGGAAAUCCACUCCUGGAAAAGUUAUUAUCAGGGGGGAAAGGGGUCUCCAUUGAAGCUUUAUCCCCAAUCAUUAUUUCCACAACAGGCUAAAUUUUCAAAAAUCCAGUUCUCACAGGGACAGAAAGUGAGUUGGAAUUGUCUGAACAGGGACACAGACAGCAAAGGAAACACCAGCGGGGUGUCAACCCUUCCCUAUGCUCUUCAAAGCUAAUGUAUAUAAAUAUAUUUGGCUGGAAUUUAACUUAAAAAAUGCAAAUGUUCUAAACAAAUUCAACCUAAGAAAAAAACCUACAGAACUGAUCUUAUUUGUAACUUGGGGUCUGCCUGUAUAUGUAGAGUAAAGAGUAAACCACCAAUAGUAACGAGAUGUUAAUUUAAAAGCUAUCUUCCAUUGUCA